rnacentral:rRNA from 1 species
GUCUACAGCCAUGCCACCCUGAACAAGCCCAAUUUGGUCUGAUCUCAGAAGCUAAGCAGGGUCGGGCCUGGUUAGUACUUGGAUGGGAGACCACCUAGGAAGACCAGGUACUGCAGGCA